rnacentral:misc_RNA from 1 species
UCGUUUCUCUCUCUGCCUGAAAAAUAGAACAAACAACAUUCAACCUCUGUGUUGUUUGAAUCGUCAGAUCUCUCUCUGAAUUUGAUCAGAUCUAAAUCAGAUUUGGGCAAUGCAUUCUAAUCGAGAUAAAGAGGAAAUGGAUUCUGGAGGAGAAAUUGAAGGUGUCGGAGAUGAAAAUGAGUUCCCAUCAUCAGCUGUUAGGGGACGAAAAUAUAGUCCUGUGGUGGCGCAUGAUAGUGAUCGGGCUGUCUUGGAGAUGUCCUCUAUUGAUCCUCGAUCUUCAUCCUCUCCUUAUUCAAAACAAGAUCUCAAGAAAG